UUCUAUUAGAAAUAAUUAAUAGUAAGAUCUGCUCCAUGUCUUAUAAAUAGCCGCAAUUUGUGCUAAGGUAGCAUAAUCAUUUGUCUUUUAAAUGAAGACUAGAACAAAAGAUUUAACAUUUUCAGUUCAUUUUCCUAAUUUACAAAUUUCAAUUUAUCUUAAAUGUAAAAAGACAUUUAUUAAAAAAAAAGACGAUAAGACCCUAUUGAACUUAACUGUAGUUAAACUGGGGCAGUUAAUUAAUUAUUAUUUUAAUAUAAAUUUUUUUCUAAAAAUCUAAUAAAAUUAAAUAAUUAAGUUACCAUAGGGAUAACAGCGUAAUAAUAUUCUAAAGAUCUUAUUUAAAAUAAAGAUUACAACCUCGAUGUUGAAUUAAUAACCUAAUUAAAGCAAAAUUUAAAAAAGGAAGUCUGUUCGACUUUUUAAAAAUUACAUGAUUUGAGUUCAGACCGGCGUAAGCCAGGUCGGUUUCUAUCUUUUAGAAACAUUUCUACAGUACGAAAGGACCUAAAUAUGCAAUA
rnacentral:rRNA from 1 species